AGUCUUGUGGUCUAGUGGCUAUGAUUUUCGUCUCACAUUUCUUGUGCUUCACGAAAGGUCCCGAGUUCGAACCUCGGCGGGACUA